UGAGGAAUAUUGCACAAUGGGCGAAAGCCUGAUGCAGCGACGCCGCGUGGAGGAUGAAGGUUUUCGGAUUGUAAACUCCUGUUAAGUGGGAAAAAAGACUUGCUAUGAAUAAGAGCGAGGGAUGAUUGUACCAUUAAAGAAAGCACCGGCUAACUUCGUGCCAGCAGCCGCGGUAAUACGAGGGGUGCAAACGUUAUUCGGAAUCAUUGGGCGUAAAGGGUGUGUAGACGGCGCAUUAAGUCAAUUAUUAAAUCUCUUGGCCUAACCAAGAGUUUGUGGUUGAGACUGUUGUGCUAGAGGAUGGAAGAGAGAAGUGGAAUUCUCGGAGUAGCGGUAAAAUGCGUAGAUCUCGAGAGGAACACCGAUGGCGAAGGCAGCUUCUUGGUCCAUAUCUGACGUUGAGGCACGAAAGCGUGGGGAGCAAACAGGAUUAGAUACCCCCGUAGUCC
rnacentral:rRNA from 1 species